AGAGCGAACGCUGGCGGCAGGCCUAACACAUGCAAGUCGAGCGCCCCGCAAGGGGAGCGGCAGACGGGAGAGUAACACGUGGGAACGUACCCUUCAGUUCGGAACAACCCAGGGAAACUUGGGCUAAUACCGAAUACGUCCGUAAGGAGAAAGAUUUAUCGCUGAAGGAUCGGCCCGCGUCUGAUUAGCUAGUUGGUGGGGUAAUGGCCCACCAAGGCGACGAUCAGUAGCUGGUCUGAGAGGAUGAUCAGCCUCAUUGGGACUGAGACACGGCCCAAACUCCUACGGGAGGCAGCAGUGGGGAAUAUUGGACAAUGGGCGCAAGCCUGAUCCAGCCAUGCCGCGUGGAUGAUGAAGGCCCUAGGGUUGUAAAGUCCGUUUUUAACGGGAAGAUAAUGACGGUACCCGUAGAAUAAGCCCGGCUAACUUCGUGCCAGCAGCCGC
rnacentral:rRNA from 1 species